rnacentral:rRNA from 1 species
UACGAAGGGGGCAAGCGUUGUUCGGAAUUACUGGGCGUAAAGGGCGCGUAGGCGGCCGAUCAAGUCAGGCGUGAAAUUCCCGGGCUCAACCUGGGGGCUGCGCUUGAUACUGAUUGGCUUGAAUGCGGGAGAGGAUAGUGGAAUUCCCAGUGUAGAGGUGAAAUGCGUAGAUAUCUGGAGGAACACCGGUGGCGAAGGCGGCAUCCUGGACCAACACUGACGCUGAGGAGCGAAAGCCAGGGGAGCAAACGGG